rnacentral:rRNA from 1 species
UACGUAGGGGGCAAGCGUUGUCCGGAUUUAUUGGGCGUAAAGAGCGUGUAGGCGGCCAAGCAGGUCCGCUGUGAAAACUCGAGGCUCAACCUCGAGACGUCGGUGGAAACCGUUUGGCUAGAGUCCGGAAGAGGAGAGUGGAAUUCCCGGUGUAGCGGUGAAAUGCGCAGAUAUCGGGAAGAACACCCCGUGGCGAAGGCGGCUCUCUGGGACGGUACUGACGCUGAGACGCGAAAGCGUGGGGAGCGAACAGG